GUGCCCGCCCACGAGGAGGUGGCUCGCGCCCGCACGUGACCGCACAGCCGGCGCCUCGCAGUGCGCAUGUGCGCUGGGGAGCGUCCGGGGAGGGUACCGCGAGACUGGCCGGCCGUAGCCCGGCGAGGAGGAAGUCCCGCGAGACUGACCGGCGCGCCUCCGGGGUUUUGGCGUUCGGCGCUCUCCCGGCGCGGCAGGCGCUCUUCUGGGCGUGCGCGCUCUCUUCUCGCUCCUCGCUGUUUGGCCGGCCGCGUCCGUAGGUUGGCUCCGAGAGAACGGGGCUUCCUCGCAGCCCAGCGUGGGACGAAACCUCAGUUGAGAGGCACCAAAGCCCUCAGUACACUGAAGCGGGAGGAUCGCUGCAGCUGCGUGACAGCCCUCUCCUACGUCCCCACCCCGUUUGAUCGGGAUGGAUAGAGGGGACCUGCAGAUGGACUGAACCCUCAGAUUCCCGACACCACGUGUGUACUCCCACUUCGUGCAGAGACAGGCCUCAGGUCUGCAGCCCGCGUGAUGGCGCACGCCUUGAUCUCAGCGCUGCGGAGGCGGAGGCGGUCGGAUCCUAUCCUUUCGUUUGCCGCCAGUCUGGUCCAUUUCUAGGCCGGGCAGGGCUGCAUGGGCUUCUCUGCGUAGCCGUGGUUGUCCUGGAACUCACUCUGUAGACCACAAAGAUCCACCUGCCUCUGUGCCCAGAGCACUAGGACCAGGAAUAAAGGCGUGCACCACCACCGCUGGCUUCAUGAGACAAUGUGCAGUAUUACCUUACAUAAUACAUUUUGUAGCUCUAUCUAUUUCCUGUAAUUUCCUCACUUCACUUUAAAGAUGAAUAAAAUUCCUUUGUGUAUCUGCA